CCUACGGGAGGCAGCAGUGAGGAAUAUUGGUCAAUGGGCGUAAGCCUGAACCAGCCAAGUCGCGUGCGGGAUGAAGGUUCUAUGGAUCGUAAACCUCUUUUAUAAGGGAAUAAAGUGUGGGACGUGUCCUGUUUUGUAUGUACCUUAUGAAUAAGGAUCGGCUAACUCCGUGCCAGCAGCCGCGGUAAUACGGAGGAUCCGAGCGUUAUCCGGAUUUAUUGGGUUUAAAGGGUGCGUAGGCGGCCGUUUAAGUCAGCGGUGAAAGACUGUGGCUCAACCAUAGAAUUGCCUUUGAAACUGGGAGGCUAGAGAUUAUUUGAGGCAGGCGGAAUGCGUGGUGUAGCGGUGAAAUGCUUAGAUAUCACGCAGAACCCCGAUUGCGAAGGCAGCCUGCCAAGCCAUGACUGACGCUGAUGCACGAAAGCGUGGGGAUCAAACAGGAUUAGAUACCCGGGUAGUC
rnacentral:rRNA from 1 species